AUAAAUAAAUUUUUAUAGUUUAUAAAUUUUAUUAUAAAUUUAUUUUACAUACAAAUUUUAGUAUGAAUAAUUAAUUAUUUUAAUAAUUUUAAAUUAAUUGUAGUAAUUAAUAUUAAAAAUUUAAGAAAUUAAGAUUUAGUAAUAUAUAAAUUAAUAACAAAUUUUGUGCCAGCAGUUGCGGUUAUACAUAAAUUAAAUUAAAUUUUAUUAGUAAAAUAAAAAUUAAAUUAUUUUAAAUUAAAUAUUAAAUUAUUAGGUGAAAUUUUAAUUUAAUUAAAAUUUAUAUAUAAUUUUAUGAAUUAAUAAAUUUUAUAAAAAACUAGGAUUAGAUACCCUAUUAUAAAAAUGUAUAAUUUUAUACUAAAAUAGUAAAUAAUUAUUUAUUUAAACUUAAGUAAUUUGGCGGUAUUUUAGUUUAUUUAGAGGAAUCUGUUUAAUAAUUGAUAUUCCACGAGUAAAUUUACUUAAUUUAAUUUUUGUAUAUCGUUGUUAAAAAAAUAUUUUAUAAUAAUAAUAAUAUUUUAAAAUUUUAAUAAAAUUUAAAUCAAAUCAAGAUGCAGAUUAUAAUUAAGAAUAUAAUGGAUUACAAUAAAUUUAUUUAUAUGAAUUUAUUAUUGAAAAAUAAUAAUGAAAUUGGAUUUAAAUGUAAUUUUAUUUAAUUUAAUAAAAUGAUUAUUAAUUAAAAUAUGUACAUAUUGCCCGUCGCUUUCAUUUAUAAAUUGAAAUAAGUCGUAACAAAGUAGAUGUACUGGAAAGUGUUUCUAGAAAU
rnacentral:ncRNA from 1 species